rnacentral:lncRNA from 1 species
CGCCCACUUCCUCACUUCGCGGCUCUGGAAAGUCUGGGCCAGGACGCAUUCUUUGUCUGACUCGGGGCGGUGGGGGGGGCGGUCGCGCCCCCCUACACCCCCUUCCCGGCGGCGAGGCCGGGAGGGGCGGAGCCCGCGUCGCGGCGAGGGCGGGCCCGGGUGGCCUCUCCAGCACCCCCGGCCUCGCGCUGCCCCCCGCGGCCCCCACCUGUUCCCUGGCGGCUGGGGCCGGGGUCCCUGGGGACUCGCGGGUCCCCUGAUUCAGCGCGCCCAGCCCGGCCCGGCUGGAACAAAGUGCGGCGGGCCCAGGCCCGGCGGCUCCCGGCUGCUCCGCCCGGCCGCGCGGGGCAGUUUGCAAACACAAAGUGCGCCGCAGAGCCAGCCAGAGUUGGAGCGGCCGCCGGCCCAGCCCCACGCGUCUCCGCGCGCCGCCACCUACCUGUCGGGCCCGGCUCAGCCCGCGCGGGGCAUGGGGCUCGCUGGGGUCCCCGCCUGCCCGCCGCCGCCCUGGCGUCCUCCCGCGCCGCGCGCCCUAGCCGCGCCGGGCCAUCGCGGGCGCCUCGGCGGGAGCUCCGCGCGCCCCAGCUCCGUGCUGCUCCGGCCUCCGGGGCCCGGGCGUCUCCGCCCCCCGGCUCAGCCCUGGCUCCUCCCCACCGCGCCGCGCCCUCCUCGCGCGCUGGGCUCCGUCCCGGCCGCCGCCGCUCGCUCCGGGCUGCAGGGCGGCCGGCUCCGGACUCCGCGGGCUGCGACCUGAGCCGGUGCGAAGGCGGCGCGCGGGCGGGGGUGGGGCCGGGGCGCGCCGCCGAGCGGCGGGCAGGCGGGGCUCAACUCCGCGCUACCGUAAUCCGCCUAAAGCUGGCGCAGCACGUCCACUGCCGGGCCGCGGGGAGACCACGUGGACCGAACUUCAGGGAGAACAGACCGGCACGUGGGACGGGCCGUGGGGCUACGGAUCUGAAAGGGGCUUUGCAGAGAGACCUCAGAGGGUGUCCGGCCUCGGAGCGGUUCCAGGGAACGCUGUGCCAACCCCACCUUCCUGUGGAGCCCUGAGGUACUGCCGUCCAGCGCGCCCGGUUCGGAGGUGGCCAGGGAGGGGGCCGCCAAGUCCCGAGUCAGCGUCUGAUCUGGGUUCUGCCUCACCCGCCUCCCAGCGUAUGAGUUUCACUUAUUAGCCCAGGCUGCCCUGGACCUUGAGGCGAUCCUCCUGCCUCCGCCUCCAAAGUGCUGGGAUUAUAGGUCAUUCCGGACUCCCGACGCCGCCGCCAGUCCCUUGGUGAGACAGCAGCACCACUGGCGUCCGUGGCCUCUGUUUCCGUGGCAACCCAGUAACCAUUAAUUUUCAAUUAAAGGAGACAAAAAGCUCAAUGACAGCUCCAGGUCCGCUGAAGAUGUCAAGAAUGUGUAUUAAUAUACAGCACGAGAGCAUAAUUGUGUGUCCAUCUUCCAGAGCAGCGAAAAAUGGAGGGAUAAUUACCAGCUCGAAAGCCACUCUGUAAUUUAGUUCUUACUGUCACCACAACCCUGCACAUUAGCAUAAAUUAAAAGCGGAGUUUAUUGUUAUCAAAG